AUUGAACGCUGGCGGCAUGCUUUACACAUGCAAGUCGAACGGCAGCGCGGGCUUCGGCCUGGCGGCGAGUGGCGAACGGGUGAGUAAUACAUCGGAACGUGCCCAGUAGUGGGGGAUAGCUCGGCGAAAGCCGGAUUAAUACCGCAUACGACCUGAGGGUGAAAGCGGGGGAUCUUCGGACCUCGCGCUAUUGGAGCGGCCGAUGGCAGAUUAGCUAGUUGGUGGGGUAAAGGCCUACCAAGGCGACGAUCUGUAGCUGGUCUGAGAGGACGACCAGCCACACUGGGACUGAGGCACGGCCCAGAACCCUGCGAGAGGCAGAAGUGGGAAAUUUUGGCCAAUGGGCGAAGUCCUGAUCCAGCAAUGCCGCGUGUGUGAUGAAGGCCUUCGGGUUGUAAAGCACUUUUGGCGGGAACGAAAAGGACUGUGCCAAUACCACGAUUCGAUGACGGUACCCGCAGAAUAAGCACCGGCUAACUACGUG
rnacentral:rRNA from 1 species